CGGGGUGUGGCUCAGUGUAGAGAGCUUGCCUAGCAUGUGUGAGGCGCUGAGUUCAAUCCUCAGCACCACAU
rnacentral:tRNA from 1 species